rnacentral:piRNA from 1 species
UCCAACACAGGAAGACAGCAAGAUGG